GAAGUGAGAGCUAAGAUGCUUUUUAGGUGGGGUUGGAUGGCAGCACCUGGACUGGAGUGCUGAGUGGGACGGUGCCUCACGGCCGAACAAAGGCAGGUGGACCGCGAGAUUGCAGGGCUCAAUUUCAUUCUGACGCAUCCGCAGCCCUUUGUAUGUUCCGUGGAACUGUGGUGGUGCCUCUGCGACGGCAGAAUCUGUUUUUGCCGUAAGGUUCUAGUCCUCAUCGCUGGCACGGUUAAAGGAGGGGGCAAGGAAGGUCUUUUUGUGGUCGGCACUUUGUCAGAUGGCCCUCGAGACUCGGAUGCGAGGGAAGGGCAAACUGCACAUGCUCAGAGGUUCUCUGAUGAACUGCUCCCAGUCUGGUUGCACACUGCAUUGGUAACCUACAGAUCUACUCACAGCUGUCUCCUGCCCCUCCCACCCCACGACCUAAGACCCUCCCCUCGCCAGCCAGGGUAGCAUCCACUCCUCCUGUCAGAUUAAUCCCAAGCAAGAGGAGGCAACGGGAUAUUGAGUUCUGGAGCCCUCAGACCACCAGGUGGAGGUAUAUAUGGCAGCAUCGGUGAGGGAAAACUAGGCCACACAGCCGUUUGGCAAGACCAAGGAACCGCCCGUGUCCCCACAGCACCCUGAAGGCGUAUGACAGACACUGCUUGGAUGGCUGAGGGGGCAGCGAACGAAGUCGAAUGUUGGGAGAUCCGAGACAAAACGAAAGAAACUUCUUCGUACGGUGCAGACUGCGGAACUCCCUGCCACAAGGGGUUAGCGGCGGCCACCAACUUGGAUGGCUUUAGAAGAGAACUGGAAAAUUCACGGAGGAAAAGAAAAGAAAAAAACCUGCUCUGCUUCAAUUUUCACCAUGGCUACCUCAGAUUAGAAUUCCUGGUCCUGCGAAAAUUCAACUCAGAACAAAGCGCCACUGAGUUAAAUGUUGCUACUCUCAGGUAAGUAACUAUACAACAGAACUACAGCAAAUGAACAAAAUUCCUUUCUGACUUUAGUGUGCUUCAGCGGACGCGCAUACAGAUGACUGAAAUCUAUGCGUUUGUUCUCAGAAUGAUGGGCCAAAAUAAACCUUUGCCAUAUAAAACGGGGAAUAGUUUUUUUAAAAAAGAUCCCAUCAAGUUAUUUUAAUCAAAUAAAACACUGCGCCUUCCAGCUGUUUUGAAACUACACAGAAAGGGGGGAAGCACAGUAGAAAGAACCUAGGAAAAGCAAGGAGGACGUUAACAGGAAGGAAGGGAAGAUGGAUCAACUUUCGGGAGGUGUUGGGGGCCGAACAUGAUGAGGUCAGGGCCGCAGGUCACCCACCCGUGUUGUAGUGUGCAGCUGAGGCAGCUCCUCCUAAAUGACCUUAGUAGCAAAUGCUUCUCAUCUGUCUAAACCCUGCCGGUCAGUGUAGACAACACUAAGCUCAAUGGACCAAUGGUUUGAGGCAGGUUUCCAUGUUCAUAAGGAACCUUUCAGGUUGGAGCCACUGCUUCCGUGGAGAAGAAGAAGAGCACAUCUCUCAUUCCACUCACGUCCGUGA